rnacentral:rRNA from 1 species
UACGGAAGGCAGCAGUGGGGAAUAUUGCACAAUGGGCGCAAGCCUGAUGCAGCCAUGCCGCGUGUAUGAAGAAGGCCUUCGGGUUGUAAAGUACUUUCAGUCGUGAGGAAGGUGUUAAGGUUAAUAACCUUAGCAAUUGACGUUAGCGACAGAAGAAGCACCGGCUAACUCCGUGCCAGCAGCCGCGGUAAUACGGAGGGUGCGAGCGUUAAUCGGAAUUACUGGGCGUAAAGGGCACGCAGGCGGUUAAUUAAGUUGGAUGUGAAAUCCCCGGGCUUAACCUGGGAAUGGCAUUCAAGACUGGUUAGCUAGAGUCUUGUAGAGGGGGUAGAAUUCCAUGUGUAGCGGUGAAAUGCGUAGAGAUGUGGAGGAAUACCGGUGCGAAGGCGGCCCCUGGACAAAGGACUGACGCUCAUGUGCGAAAGCGUGGGGAGCAAA